rnacentral:rRNA from 1 species
GAUGAACGCUGGCGGCGUGCCUAAUACAUGCAAGUCGAGCGAACAGACGAGGAGCUUGUUCCUCUGACGUUAGCGGCGGACGGGUGAGUAACACGUGGAUAACCUACCUAUAAGACUGGGAUAACUUCGGGAAACCGGAGCUAAUACCGGAUAAUAUAUUGAACCGCAUGGUUCAAUUGUGAAAGACGGUUUUGCUGUCACUUAUAGAUGGAUCCGCGCGGCAUUAGCUAGUUGGUAAGGUAACGGCUUACCAAGGCAACGAUGCGUAGCCGACCUGAGAGGGUGGUCGGCCACACUGGAGCGGAGACGCGGUCCAGACUCCUACGGGAGGCAGCAGUAGGGAAUGGUCGGCAAUGGGCGAAAGCCUGGCGGAGCAACGCCGCGUGAAUGAUGAAGGUCUUCGGAUCGUAAAACUCUGUUAUUAGGGAAGAACAAAUGUGUGAGUAAAUAUGCACGUCUUGACGGUACCUGAUCAGGAAGCCACGGCUAACUACGUG